rnacentral:rRNA from 1 species
UACGUAGGGUGCGAGCGUUAAUCGGAAUUACUGGGCGUAAAGCGUGCGCAGGCGGUUCGUUGUGUCGGCGGUGAAAGCCCCGGGCUUAACCUGGGAAUGGCCGUUGAAACUGGCGAACUGGAGUGUGGCAGAGGGGGUGGAAUUCCGCGUGUAGCAGUGAAAUGCGUAGAGAUGCGGAGGAACACCGAUGGCGAAGGCAGCCCCCUGGGCUAGCACUGACGCUCAGGCACGAAAGCGUGGGGAGCAAACAGG